GAGUUUGAUCUUGGCUCAGAUUGAACGCUGGCGGCAGGCCUAACACAUGCAAGUCGGGCGGUAGAGAGAAGCUUGCUUCUCUUGAGAGCGGCGGACGGGUGAGUAAUGCCUAGGAAUCUGCCUGGUAGUGGGGGAUAACGCUCGGAAACGGACGCUAAUACCGCAUACGUCCUACGGGAGAAAGCAGGGGACCUUCGGGCCUUGCGCUAUCAGAUGAGCCUAGGUCGGAUUAGCUAGUUGGUGAGGUAAUGGCUCACCAAGGCGACGAUCCGUAACUGGUCUGAGAGGAUGAUCAGUCACACUGGAACUGAGACACGGUCCAGACUCCUACGGGAGGCAGCAGUGGGGAAUAUUGGACAAUGGGCGAAAGCCUGAUCCAGCCAUGCCGCGUGUGUGAAGAAGGUCUUCGGAUUGUAAAGCACUUUAAGUUGGGAGGAAGGGCAGUAAAUUAAUACUUUGCUGUUUUGACGUUACCGACAGAAUAAGCACCGGCUAACUCUGUGCCAGCCGCCG
rnacentral:rRNA from 1 species